rnacentral:rRNA from 1 species
GACGAACGCUGGCGGCGUGCCUAAUACAUGCAAGUCGAACGCUUCUUUCCUCCCGAGUGCUUGCACUCAAUUGGAAAGAGGAGUGGCGGACGGGUGAGUAACACGUGGGUAACCUACCCAUCAGAGGGGGAUAACACUUGGAAACAGGUGCUAAUACCGCAUAACAGUUUAUGCCGCAUGGCAUAAGAGUGAAAGGCGCUUUCGGGUGUCGCUGAUGGAUGGACCCGCGGUGCAUUAGCUAGUUGGUGAGGUAACGGCUCACCAAGGCCACGAUGCAUAGCCGACCUGAGAGGGUGAUCGGCCACACUGGGACUGAGACACGGCCCAGACUCCUACGGGAGGCAGCAGCAGGGAAUCUUCGGCAAUGGACGAAAGUCUGACCGAGCAACGCCGCGUGAGUGAAGAAGGUUUUCGGAUCGUAAAACUCUGUUGUUAGAGAAGAACAAGGACGUUAGUAACUGAACGUCCCCUGACGGUAUCUAACCAGAAAGCCACGGCUAACUACGUG